CGGGGGCCGCUUGCUUGCUACGCUGUCCAGGGAUGACGUCCUUGCCUGUGCACCUAUAAUCGAGGACAGGAGACCCAUCACUCAGUCUAUGUUGGCUUCUUCUCCUCUUCUCACUGCUCGGGUCAGACAAGCCUCUCCCAAUCCCUCGCCUUCUCCGUCCCUCCACCCGAACCUCAGCAUGGUGUCCCGGUGAGACUUCACCCACCCCGCACCUGUGGUCUUGCAGAGCGGCUGGGCGUGAUGAUGGCUGGUGGGCGCCGGUCAGCCGUCACCAUCUCCGCACACCAUCGGUGCUACCACCAUCAUGGCCCUCGUGGAGGGACUGCUCGGAGUCGGAUCAGAGAUGGUGCUGUUGCCGUGAGGUUGGCGCCAUCCCUGUCGGCCUCAGCGUCCUCUCAUGUGAACGCGGCCACAGUUCCUAUGGAGUCCAAGCGCGCCGCUGCGUGGUUAUCUUGCCGGUGGAACUUCCCCUAAGGGCAUGUGGGCAUGUUGGUACCUCCAGAAGUGGAUUAUUUGUUGAGGCUAUGUUUCUGGACAUCGUCAAAUUAAACACACGACUGAACUCUAUUUCGAUGUUAAAAAGUUCAGUUUGAUGUCAUUGGAAAUGUUGGAAUUCUAAAGGAUGCGGCCUUGCUGGGUUUUUGUAGUUUAGUAGGGCUAAAAUUCCUCACAGAUUGACAAUUGAAGUGUUCUGAUUAUUGUUUCAUGUUAAGCCAAUAUUGCAUAUUAGCAUUUAAUAAUUAAAUAUUGUGAAUGUUUUCAUUACAAGUUGGUGUUGCCACUGUAUUGCUAUAUGAUUGAAGCAUUCUACAUCGUUCCAAAAUACAGAAAACAUAGGGGCGAAUUUUCCAUUGCUGAAACAAGUUUAUCUCCAUUGUUUAAUUUGAUGUUGGAGGUUUGACAUUAGCAUACUACAGUAAAGUUCAUCUAACAAUAGUUUGAUCCUUGCUUAUUUGAUUCAAUUCCAUUAGCGUGUAUAGUACAACUUGACAAGUUUACAUGUGCAUUGCUGCAGGUUCAUCAAAGGUAAUUCAUGAUCCGCUGUAUCACUUGGACAAAUUUACAUGACUAUCAGUUUUUAGAUUGUGAUAUAUUUCCAGAAUGUAUUUGCAGAUAGUUUAAUUGAUUUUUUUGUUAGUACGAAGUGUUAUAAUUCAUACUUAAAAUGUCACGAAAACCUCACAUUUACUGUAGAUUUUUUCUCUCUAUAUGCUGUGUUGGUUGCUGAUCGAAGGCAUAAAGUCUAUGCUUCGAGAUAGUUUGUCAUAUGUACCUUUUUUCAUGCUUCAGAUCAAAUUAUUUUUGUACGAAUGUACGGGAAAAUGAUCAUUUGCAGUAUUUUUUCCCUGUUAGAUAUAGCCAUCUAUUAAGUUUGAUGAAACUGUAAACGUACCUAUUUUAUAUAAACAAAGAACUACCACAUUUA